AUAAUGAGUUCCAAUAUUGGAAGUCAUAUGAAUGCUGCCAAGCCAAGCAGGUCCACUCAGUGGAUGUCUUAACCUCAACUCUACAACUUUCUGGAGAAGGUGAAGUCGUGAUCUUAUCAUGUAAAUGGUGCUGGUGUUAUGGCAUCCCGGUCUUAUCCUGAGGUGUGGAAGUGUAACCUAACUGCAAGAGGACUUCUUGAAAUGGUUUUAGGUGUGGGGAAAGGAAAAAUAUCACUUAAGCCUUCUUUCUUGACUUGCUUUACAUGAUUCCUGCACGCGCUCAACAAUACGGCUAGUUCUCCCCUAUUUUGGUGCAUCUGAAGCAUUGAUUAAGUAAAUGAAAUCAAUUCUAUGUCCUAUGUGUGCCAAUCCCUGCAGUUCCCGCCUCUUAAUAGAAAGCACACAACAAACGUCCAAUGACAGAUCGAGGUAGAGUUAAUUUCAGUAAAGGCAUCAACAACAAGGAAGUAUUGACAGUUAUUCUUCAAUAUUUAUGAUGCUAUUAUAGGAGAUCAUCUUCUCGUAGUUGCUAUCCUAUGUGGCAUGUUGUUGCAGCCUAAGCUGGUGAAAGAUAAUUUUGCAUCGAAGUUGACCUGUGUCUGUUCCUUGUUAUGGAAGUUGCAACCAAUAUUUUGUAAAUUUUCUUUGUGUCUGCAGUUUACCGUUUGUAUGAUCAAAAGGAACAGAAAUAUGUGGAGUUUUUAUGUCGCACAAAUUAUCUUAACCAUUGGGAAAGUAACGAGUGAGGAGUUGGGUUUGGGAGACUUGAUACACAACAUAAGAACUUCAGGUGUUUUGUCUUGAAAGAAACUGAUGCGAUAAAAAGUAUAAUCCAAUCAUUCCUUAAAAUUUUUAUUCAGUGAAUUAUUACAUAGCAC
rnacentral:lncRNA from 1 species